rnacentral:misc_RNA from 1 species
AAGAAAGAAAGAAAGAGAAAGAAAGUUGGCAUACACAAUUAGUGCCUUAUUCUAAGUAGUAAAGUGAGGCCACAAGUGGGUAUCCACAAUGCAGAAUGCCAGAAGAUCUUAAGGCACCAGCUGCAAGAAGAUGAACGCUACACUUGAACAACAUCACAUGUACAGUACUGACCCAGGGGGAACUGUUAACUUCUAGCUAAACAAAUCCGCAUAGUACCCUGUUCUUGUUUACUCUGUUUCUUAUGCAGGCUUAUUUAUCUGUAUGCCUGAAGAUGUGGGGCUUAGCUGUACUUUCUUGAAGAACAUCCCUAACCUUGUGCAGUUCAUGGACAACCUUACUCAUGUCCAUUCGAUCUCUUGAUGACUCCAUAGAACAUGCCAAUGCGAUUUCAACCAUGGAAAUUAGACACUUCUCCAUUCUAUUGCCAGUGUUUAUUGAUUGUCUCUUGUUCAUGAUUUCCAUAUCAUCUCUGAGAAGCAUUGGGUCGACAAUCUCCAUAACAUUGUCAGGAAGGGAUUUUCUAGCAAACUUAUGAAGAUUAAGACCACUCUCAAACAUAUUGUCGGUUGGUCUCUUCCCUGUUAUCAUCUCCAACACUACAAUCCCAUAACUGUAGAUAUCCCCUUCUAUUGAUACUUGUGUUCCUAGACCAUAUUCUGGCGCAGCAUAACCAACAGUUCCCUUUAUUCCAAUUGAGCUGCUUUGGUUUGGUUUUGUCAGUUCUGGAAGAAUUCUUGCUAGCCCGAAAUCUCCAACAUGAGCAGUCAUGUCGCUAUCAAGAAGAAUGUUGCUCGGUUUUAGAUCACAAUGAAUGAUUGGUUGAUGGCAAUGGUGAUGAAGAUAAUCGAGUGCAUAUGCCACAUCAAUGGCAAUGUUGAUUCUCCUAAGAAGGCUUAGAUUAUUGUGAACUUUAUGCUGCCGAUCAGCUUCAUAUGUUUCUUGAACUGGAUGUAGCCAUGUCUCUAAACUCCCAUUAGGCAUGUAUUCAUAAACUAGAGCCUUGAAAUCAUUACCUUGGAAAUCGAUGCUUGAACAAGAAGUUAUGAUCCUGACAAGAUUUCGAUGGCGAAUAUUUCUCAAUGCUUCACAUUCAGCAGUGAAACUCCUGGAAGCACCUCGACGUUGAAGAUUAAGCACCUUGAUUGCAGUGACCGUUCCAUCUUCAUCAAUGCUUCCUCUAUAGACAGAGCCGAAACUACCUACACCGAUCAAAUUAGACACAGAAAAGGCACCAGUUGCUCUAAGGAGUUUUUCAUAAGAGAUUUGGGCAAAUGGUUCCUUCAAUGAAGUACCAGAAAUUUGUUCUUUUUUCUUCUUUCUGAACCAACAGAACAGGAAAGAUAACACCACGGUUAAUCCAAGAAGAGCACAAGGUAUGAUGAUCACUGACAAGUGAAAACGUGAAAUUUUAUGUUUCCUUGGUUCUUUGCUGGGGCAUUUAGGCAAGUUCAAUUUAGAGAUACCUCCACAAAGUCUGUCAUUUCCAACAAUUGACACCGCACUUCCAUUUGUGAAAACUCCCUUCUUGGGGAUCUCCCCCUCAAAAUUGUUAUAGGACAAGUUUAAAUAUAUGAAUGGAAUUUUUACAAAAUCAUUAGGAAUUUUUCCGGAAAGAUUGUUGUGAGAAAGAUCAAGGAUUUGAAUACCCGUCAAGGAACUAAAAGAUGAAGGGAUGGAUCCAUCGAAGAAAUUGUUCUCCAUGUAUAAUUUCUCAAGGCUUAUGCUAGCUCCAAGGCUAGUUGGAAUUUCACCGGACAGCCUGUUCCAGGAGACAUCCAAUUCCCCUAAGCUUUUCAGAUUACCGACAGAUGAAGGCAAGGGACCAGUAAAUUGGUUAUGAGCUAUACUUAGUGAAAUUGAUAGAGAGGAAAUGCCAAAAAGUUCACUGGGUAUGCUGCCACUUAGGUUAUUAUGAGAAAGAUAUAUUGACAACAAGUUUGUGCAAUUUUUUAAGCUAGAAGGGAUGUCUCCUUGCAACAUGUUAUAAUCUAAAUAAAGCUCAGCUAACCAUGAUAAGUU